rnacentral:misc_RNA from 1 species
AAACCAAUCUAGCCUUAUGGUUAGGUCUUGGGCCUUCGCCUCUAGGCGGGCCUUAAAAUCAGUGGCGGUGCCCUUUGGCUCUAAGCGUAGUAAUACUCCUCGCUAUAGACGUCAGGCGGUGUCUUGCCAACAAGCCUAAUUUUUCAAA